GCUUAUCAGCACUGUGGCCUUAAUUUUAAAGGCCUCAUCCAAGGAAAAAGGGAAAACUUUUUGUUGUUGAACCAUCUCUUUGUCUUUGUAAGAGUCAUUCAGUUUUGAAUGUGUUGGUAUUUUUUUUCCAGGUCAUUACAGUGAAAUAAAGUCCUGUCUAUAUAUGCCGCACAGUGUGAUAUUACAGUAUGAUAGAAAAUAGUUAGUUAUUCAGUGUCCAGGAAUAUUCCUGGGGUUGAGGUGUAUAGAGUGCUCACUGUACUCAGGAGACAAAUGAGUUUGAUCUCUGCACUCAUAUAAAAAGUCAGGCAUGGAGCAUAUCAAUUAUCUCAGCUUUGGGUAGCAGAGACAGACAUGUCCUGAGACUCUGGCUUGCCAGCCAGUCUUAAAUGGCAAGCAUCAGGUUCAGUGAGAGACACUGUCUCAAAGAAUAGGAUGGAGAGUGACUGAGGAAGACACCCAUCAUUAGCCUCCGGUCUCCACAUACACAUGCACACACAUACAUACAUGUGUGCACACAUUACUCCAUCUUUUUUUUUAAAAAGAUUUUAUUUAUUUAUUAUAUGUAAGUACACUGUAGCUGUCUUUAGAUCUCAUUACGGGUGGUUGUGAGCCACCAUGUGGUUGCUGGGACUUGAACUCAGGACCUCCAGAAGAGCAGUCAUUGCUCUUAACUGCUGAGCCAUCUCACCAGCCCACAUUACUCCAUCUUGAAGGAACAACAAGAUAGCCUUUUAAGGACAAGUGUUGGAAAAACUUUGCAAAAACCCAAAGCCAUCAGUUCAUCUCCGUAGUCUUAGACAUUUGAAUGUGUGGUCCCUGGUUGGGUGGCAUUGCUGGAGGAAAUGUGUCCCUGGGGUGGGCUCUGAGGUUUCAAAGUCUCCAUCCAUUUCAGGUUUGCUUGCUCAGUUUCUUGUUUGUGGUUUGACGAGCUCUCAGCUGUUCCUGCCACACUGAUCUCUCUGGAACUGUAAGCCCAAAUAAACUCUUCUAUACAUUG
rnacentral:lncRNA from 1 species